UUGUUUUUUAAAACUUUUUUUCAAAAAAGGGGGAAAGAAACGAAAAUAAAAGUUUGGGCGAGAAUGAAGGUGGUUUAAACACCAAGAAUUUGAAUACGGGGUUUUUAUGAACGUUUAAAAGAAGCCAAAUGUUGUUGGGGUCUGGUAGNUUCAGGCUGGGUUAGAGGGCUCGCCCUGAUAAGCGGGAGGUCGGGUGGUUCCAAGUCCACUCAGACCCCACCAACUAUCUUCCCAAAGAUAGCGGGGUCAGACAUUGAAUCUUUAUGGGGCUAUAGCUCAGCUGGGAGAGCGCCUGCCUUGCACGCAGGAGGUCAGCAGUUCGAUCCUGCUUAGCUCCACCACAGAGAAUAUUUAAAAAUGGUUCUUAACGAAUCACGCUCUUUAACAAUUUGGAAAGCUGACGAAUAACAACCAUCCCCUUAUCUACGGAUAAGCGUUGUUAUUCAAUUAAAAGUUCUCAAAUCCUAAUUCUAUGAAUUAGGUACCAACACACAUUCAAGUGUUCUUGGAAACAUCCAUAGGAUGUUUAUAUUUGAGUCCGGCAAAAUCGAAUGUCUCUCGCUCAUUCAAUAAUGAGAGACACAAACCUUGGUUGUUUGA
rnacentral:tRNA from 1 species